GCUUUGUCGGGUAAGAAUCAUUCAGGCCGGGCGCGGUGGCUCACGCCUGUAAUCCCAGCACUUUGGGAGGCCGAGGCGGGCGGAUCAUGAGGUCAGGAGAUCCAGAACAUCCUGGCUAACACAGUGAAACUCCGUCUCUACUAAAAAAUACAAAAAAAAAUUAGCCAAGCGUGAUGGCGGGCGCCUGUAAUCCCAGCUACUCGGGAGGCUGAGGUAGGAGAAUGGCGGGAACCCGGGAGGCGGAGCUUGCGGUGAGCAGAGAUCGCGCCACUGCACUCCAGCCUAGGCCACAGAGCGAGACUCCGUCUCAAAAAAAUAAAAGGAUCAUUCAGGUAAAGCAGAUAAGAAUCACCAAUACCUUGAGGUGGAAGCACGCCUGACAUGGUUGAGAAACAACAGAGAAGCCGGCGUCCUGAGUGCGUUUCCAUAGUAAUGAUCAAAUCAAAGAAAUAUAGAAAACACCUAACAUUGCUGGAAACUGAAGAGGUGUUCAACUCAUUUAUCCGACCUUGAAGCCAGUAGAGUGCAGGAGACAUCUGAGUGUUGUCAAGGAUCAACAAAUCUGGAUACUAGUUAAUGUGGACGAAAUUUCGCUCUUGUUGCCCAGGCUGGUGUGCAAAUGGCACGAUCUCGGCUCACCACAACCUCCGCCUCCCGGGUUCAAGCGAUUCUCCUGCCUCAGCCUCCUGAGUAAGCUGGGAUUACAGGCAUGUGCCACCACGCCAGGCUAAUUUUGUAUUUUUAGUAGAGACAGCAUUUCUCCAUGUUGGUCAGGCUGGUCUUGAACCCCUGACCUCUGGUGAUCCGCCUGCCUCGGCCUCCCAAAGUGCUGGGAUUACAGGCGUGAGCCACUGCACCUGGCCUAACUGUAAGAUUUCUAAAGUAACUGCUCUAAAAGGAAUUCAGGAGCCUAUCUGUUACCAAGUUUUUUGUUGUUGUUGUUGUUUUGAGACAGAGUCUCGCUCUGUUGCCCACGCUGGAGUGCAGUGGCGCGAUUUCGGCUCACUGCAAGCUCUGCCUCCUGGGUUCACGCCAUUCUCCUGCCUCAGCCUCCCAAGUAGCUGGGACUACAGGCGCCCGCCACCAUGCCUGGCUAAUUUUUUGUAUUUUUAGUAGAGACAGGGUUUCAUCGUGUUAACCAGAAUGGUCUCGAUCUCCUGACCUCGUGAUCCGCCCGCCUCGGCCUCCCAAGGUGCUGGGAUUACACGCAUGAGCCACCACACCUGGCCUGUUAACAAGUUUUAACUGGAACAAAAAGUAAAUUCUCCUAGCAGCAUUGGGCUUCCUCAGGCUGGCCUUUUAAGUAGUGCUGAAUCAUCCUAUGGACCUUGCCUUAGGCUACUAGAAGGCGUGCUAGAGUUUGCCAAGUCUCUAGUGCAGAGAUUUGGGAGGAGUUGUUAUAUGAUGAGGGCUCUGCAGUUCUGACAGUCUAACACCUAUCAAAAUGGAAGAGAGCUCAAGAGAGUACAUAAAUGAGCUUCCCGCCUUACUUAAGCUGCCACAAAAGUUUUACUAAGUUUUUGUAGACAUGUUGCAAAGUGGUAAUGUGGAUCUUAAUCUCAACAUUCAUCAGUGUUUCAGUCCUAUAAUGCAGUGCUUGGAAAGCAGCGUAUGAGGUUCAGGACAUGCAACCCCAAAAUAUGGAUUCUUGGCAUUUGAGAAAACAGCAGAAUCAGGAAAUUCACUCUCACACCUUUCCCCGUCUUUCUGCCCUGAAGCAGAUCAUAAGACCCUUAUUUUAGAAGUAUUGUUUCCUAGAGGAAAGAAACUUCCUUAUCUUUGAAGAUACAGAGAUGCCAAGAAGAAUCUGAACAAAUUAGUCUUGCUAAGCUCCCUCCAGUUUAUUAGCAUUAGAUCAUACCCUCCUUGUCCAACGUAGGGGAGAAAAAGUAGUAUCUUUUCCUUGCCCAUCACCAGGUUCGUGACUGAGACCCCUAUAACAAAAGACAGAUUAACAAAACAAAAGCAUGUAAAUGUUAUACGACAAGAGAGCCUUCUGAAAUGAAGACGCAGGGAAAACUGAGUAUUUCUACGGACAGUUAUGCAGAAGUAUGACUGGAGAACAAAAGGGUAUAAUCUAAUGAUGCCGUGAACCUAGCAAUGAGUGAGGAAAAGGAAUCUUUCACCCCUACAAAGGGAUACCAUGGAAUUUCUCAAACAGUGAAUACAUUGGCUCCAGGAAAAAGGGUCGACCUCUUAAAUAGAAAUAGAGAACUAGAGAACAAUAAUGAGGGGAGUACCUUGCAGUCAGUAAUAAGAAGCUGUCUUUACUAUCAAAUCAGACCUCCAGUGGGAGAGUUUUUCCCUAUAGUGACUUUGACUGUCACCCUGUGUUUAAUCACAAUCCUAUGAAAACAGUUAACUCUCUAAGUGGUCAAAGAAAUUUUUCAAUAAACAUAAACUUUAGUCUAAUUCUCAUUAUUCUCCUUUUUUGUCUCUUUGUCUAAAAUAAAGCAAUUAAACAUUAAUUAUGCAAAUCAUUGACAAACUAGAAAAACAAUACCCUUCGUAUUUCAAGACAGUGGGAGAGAUAGGCUGGGUAUUCAGAGAAAAAUACCCCUCAUUAAAUGUUAAUGCAAGAAACAGGUGGAAGGCCGAGCAUGGUGGCUCAGGCCUGUAAUUCCUACACUUUGGGAGGCUGAGGCAGGUGGAUCACCUGAGGUCAGCAGUUUGAGAUCAGUCUGGCAAACAUGAUGGAACCCCAUCUCUACUAAAAAUAUAAAAAAUUAGCUGGGUGGGGUGGCAGGUGCCUUUAAUCCCAGCUAUUUAGGAGGCUGAGACAGGAGAAUCACUUGAACCCAGGAGGUGGAAGUUGUAGUGAGCCAAGAUCGUGCCACUGCACCCCAACCUGGGCAACAACAGUGAAACUCCAUCUAAAAAAAAAAAAAAAAAAAAAGGAAAGAAACAGGUGGAAACAAACCAACCUAACAAAAGAAAAGACAAAAAACAAACCAGUUAUCUAACUUACAUUUUCAGUGAAGUUUGUUGAAAACUUUCAUCUAUAAAACAAGUGGGUCAUCCAAGAAAAAUGAGCAAUCUGGCCGGGUGCAAUGGCUCAUGCCUGUAAUCCCAGCACUUUGGGAGGCAGAGACAGGCAGAUCACCUGAGGUCAGGAGUUCGAGACCAGCCUGACAAACAUGGAGAAACCUCGUCUCUACUAAAAAUACAAAAUUAGCCAGGCGUGGAGGCGCAUGCCUGUAAUCUCAGCCACUUGGGAGGCUGAGGCAGGAGAAUUGCUUGAACCCAGGAGGCAGAGGCUUCAGUGAGCCAAGAGUAAGCCAAGAUCGUGCCACUGCACUCCAGCCUGGGCAACAAGAGCAAAAACUCUGUCAAAAAAAAAAAAAAAGAAAAGAAAGAAAGAGAAAAAAGAAAAAUGAGCAAUCUGAGAAGAGUUCUUAGAAGUGGAAAACACAUUUUAUAAACUAAAAUUGUAAUUAAUGAAACCCAGAGGUAGAUUGAAUAUUACAUCAAUAAAAUAGCUGAAAGAACCGAAUUCAUAAUAGCUGAGUCUCAGGAAUGGAAAACAAAACAUUGUAUGUUCUCACUUAUAAGUGAGAGCUAAGCUAUGAAAAUACAAAGACAUAGGAAUGAUACAAUGGAUUUUGGGGACUUGGAGGGAAGGGCGGGAGGUGGGUGAGAGAUAAAAGAUUACACAUUGGGUACAGUGUACACUGCUCAGGUGAUGGGUGCAACAAAAAUAUAAGAAAUCACCACUAAAAAACUUAUCCAUGUAACCAAACACCACCUGCUCCCCAAAACCUGUUAAAAUAAAAAAUAAAAGAAUAGCUGAGUCAGUCUGCUCACUCACUGCUAUAUACAUUAAGUAGUAGUGUUUACUCUCAGAAUUAAACCUCAAAAAAUAGCAUUCUUUUCAAACAAAUAUCUAUUUUGUAUAUGUCUAAUGUGACUUUCUGGAAAAUUCAUACAAAUAAAUGAAGAGAAAUAAGUAAACAUGUGAAUAUAUAGAAAUAAAUGGAUACAUGAAUUAAAUAGAAAAGAUUAUGGCUGGGCACGGUGGCUCAUGCCUGUAAUCUCAGAACUUUGGGAGGUCAAGGCAGGUGGUUGGCUUGAGUCCAGGAGUUCGAGACUAGCCUGGCAACAUGGCAAAACUCCAUCUCUACAAAAAAAAAAAUACAAAAAAUUAGCCAGCUAUGGUGGUACAUGCCUGUGGUUCAAAGUACUUGGGAGGCUGAGGUGAGAGGGUUUCUUUGAGCCCCGGAGGCAGAGGUUGCAGUGAGCCAAGCUGGCGCCACUGCACUCCAGCCUGGGUAACAGAGCAAGACUCUGUCUCAAAAAAAUAAUAAAAAUAACAAAGAAAACAAGAUUAUUAAAACCAAACUAAGCAUUAAACUUAAGAACCACUGCAGAAAAACAUGUUCAGUCCUCAGAAGAUAGCAACAUUUCAAAGUACCUUCCCAAUUAAAAAAAAAUCAAAUUUCUCUUCCAAUUUGAAUGCUAAAUUGGGCCUCUUUCCUCUCUUCCUCUUCUCUGACUCUCUGCCUCCUUCCUUUCCUUGUUUUCUCUAUUCAUCCAUUAACAAUUAAAUAUCUACUGAAUAUUUACUAUAUUCACAAACCUGAGGCUCAAUCCCAAUCCUAAUUGAUUUCUCAUUAUAUUUGAGGAAGAAAGACAUGUAAAAAAAAUUACUUCGGUAUCCCUUGGAUUGACUGAAGCACCAAAUUUACUUAGCUUUACUCACAACACUUACAAAUGCUUCAUUUUAGAUGGUGUAGUCAUUCAUAGCUCUCCCACCUUCCCUGCCAGGGAUCCCCAGCUCCCAAUUGCCAAGCCCAUGCUCCUCCUUUCUUCUUUGUGACUUUGCUUUUAACAUUUAGUUGCCAUCAAAUAAACUGACACCUGGCAGGUCUCUAGUACUUCCUUAAAGGAGCCGGACUCACUGCCAGGGCACAGAGCAUCUGCUCUUCCCAGCACCCCCCUCCAGAGGCCUUUGUUCUUCCCUUUAAUAGUCCCUGAAAUGCAAAAUUGAGAAUGGGUACUGUAAACUAUUCCAUAUAAAUUAAUCUUUAAUAACUUUUUAUUUUAUUUAUUUAUUUAUUUUUGAGAUGGAGUUUCGCUCUUGUUUCCCAGGCUGGAGUGCAAUGGCGCGAUCUCAGCUCGCUGCAACCUCCGCCUCCCGGGUUCAAGUGAUUCUCCUGCCUCAGCCUCCCAAGUAGCUGGGAUUACAGGCAUGUGCCACCAUACCCAGCUAAUUUUUUGUAUUUUUAGUAGAGACGGGGUUUCUCCAUGUUGGUUAGGCUGGUCUCGAACUGCUGACCUCAGGUACUCCACCUGCCUCAACCUCCCAAAGUGCUAGGAUUACAGGCAUGAGCCACCUCACCUGGCCUUUAAUGACAUUUUGAUUAAAAAAGCCAAAAAAAAAAAAAAAACCAGACAUGGUGGUUCACACCUUAAUCCCAACACUUUGGGAAGCCAGGGUGGGAGGAUAGCUAGAGCUCGGGAGUUCAUGACCAGCCUGGGCAACAUGGCAAAACCCUGUCUCCGCAAAAAAUACAAAAAUUGUUGGGAAAAGAUGAGUGCUGGGAGAAGCUGAAGCAGGGCUUGCAUGUCUGACAUAACAUAAAAGAGUGUUGGAACAUGUCCAGGUCCAGAGUCUGAAACCUCUCAUGGCCUUUGGAACACCAAACUCUGUGCUAAGGGUGGAAGGCUACCCUGAUGCGCCAUAAUCUAAGCUCAGGGCAUAAAACCCCUCGUGGCUUGGAUAGAAUCCAGGGCUCAUGGCUCUCGAAUGUGUCUAGACUUGCUGGCUCCUUGCUUCUCGCCCUACCAGGCUCCUAGAUCGAUUGUGUCUCAGAAUUGGCCAUAUAAAUGCUAAACCAUCACAGCUGUAACUCAUGUGCUUAAUGCAACGCUCCCUUUCGACCCCCACGUUCUCACCACCUGUUUCUUUGUUUGAUCACCAAUAAACAGUCUGGGCUUCCGGAGCUCGGGGCCUUCGCAGCCUCCAUAACUAGUGUUGGCCCCCUGGACCCACUUUCUCUCUCAAACUGUCUUUUCUCAUUCCUUUGACUCUGUUGGACUUCGUCACCCCCACGACCUGGUGUUGGGUCCGAUCACCACAACAAAAAAUUAGUCGGGCAUGGUGGCAUGUGCCUGUAGUCCCAGCUACUCAGGAGGUUGAGGCAGGAGGAUCGCUUGAGCUCAGGAGAUUAAGGCUGCAGUGAGCCGAGAUCCUACCACUGCACUCCAGCCUGAGCUACAGGCUGUCUCAAACAAACAAGAAAAAAGAGCAAGACAAAUCAAACAGAAGAGUAUGAGGCAUUGUCCUAAAAGACUUCCCUGGUAGUUUAACUUCAAGCUGCAGAGCAUCCU
rnacentral:lncRNA from 10 species